rnacentral:rRNA from 1 species
GACGAACGCUGGCGGCGUGCUUAACACAUGCCAGUCGAACGGAAAGGCCCUGCUUGCAGGGUACUCGAGUGGCGAACGGGUGAGUAACACGUGGGUGAUCUGCCCUGCACUUCGGGAUAAGCCUGGGAAACUGGGUCUAAUACCGGAUAGGAGCCAUUUUUAGUGUGAUGGUUGGAAAGUUUUUUCGGUGUAGGAUGAGCUCGCGGCCUAUCAGCUUGUUGGUGGGGUAAUGGCCUACCAAGGCGGCGACGGGUAGCCGGCCUGAGAGGGUGGACGGCCACAUUGGGACUGAGAUACGGCCCAGACUCCGACGGGAGGCAGCAGUGGGGAAUAUUGCACAAGGGGCGCAAGCCUGAUGCAGCGACGCCGCGUGGGGGAUGACGGCCUUCGGGUUGUAAACUCCUUUCGCUAGGGACGAAGCUUUUUGUGACGGUACCUAGAGAAGAAGCACCGGCUAACUACGUG